CUAGCGGUUAGAGUGUAGGGACGGCAGGUAGCCUAGCGGUUAGAGUGUAGGGACGGCAGGUAGCCUAUUGGUUAGAGUGUAGGGACGGCAGGUAGCCUAGUGGUUAGAGUGUAGGGACGGCAGGUAGCCUAGUGGUUAGAGUGUAGAGGUGGUAGGUAGCCUAGUGGUUAGAGUGUAGAGGUGGUAGGUAGCCUAGUGGUUAGAGUGUAGAGACGGCAGGUAGCCUAGUGGUUAGAGUGUAGAGGUGGUAGGUAGCCUAGUGGUUAGAGUGUAGAGGUGGUAGGUAGCCUAGUGGUUAGAGUGUAGGGACGGCAGGUAGCCUAGUGGUUAGAGUGUAGAGGUGGCAGGUAGCCUAGUGGUUAGAGUGUAGAGGUGGCAGGUAGCCUAGUGGUUAGAGUGUAGGGACGGCAGGUAGCCUAGUGGUUAGAGUGUAGGGACGGCAGGUAGCCUAGUGGUUAGAGUGUAGGGACGGCAGGUAGCCUAGUGGUUAGAGUGUAGGGACGGCAGGUAGCCUAGUGGUUAGAGUGUAGGGACGGCAGGUAGCCUAGUGGUUAGAGUGUAGGGACGGCAGGUAGCCUAGUGGUUAGAGUGUAGGGACGGCAGGUAGCCUAGUGGUUAGAGUGUAGGGACGGCAGGUAGCCUAGUGGUUAGAGUGUAGGGACGGCAGGUAGCCUAGUGGUUAGAGUGUAGGGACGGCAGGUAGCCUAGUGGUUAGAGUGUAGGGACGGCAGGUAGCCUAGUGGUUAGAGUGUAGGGACGGCAGGUAGCCUAGUGGUUAGAGUGUAGGGACGGCAGGUAGCCUAGUGGUUAGAGUGUAGGGACGGCAGGUAGCCUAG